rnacentral:rRNA from 1 species
GACGAACGCUAGCGGCGUGCCUAAUACAUGCAAGUUGAGCGAUGAAGAUUGGUGUUUUCCCUAAUUUGAAGAGCCGCGAACGGGUGAGUCACGUGUAGGCAACCUUCCUCUGAGCGGGGGCCAAAAGAAGGUAACGAUUGCUACUACCACAUAACAACUUUAAACAUAAGUUAUAAGUUUGAAAGAAUCAAUUGAAUAUCUCCAAGAUUAUCCCGCGUUGUAUUAGCUAGUUGGGGAGGAAAAGGCCCACGAAGGCGAUGAUACAUAGCCGAACUGAGAGGGAGAUCGGCCACAUUGGGACUGGGACUGGGCCCAAACUCCGACUGGAGGCAGCAGUAGGGAAUCUUCGGAAAGGGACGAAAGGCGGACCGAGAAACGCCGAGGGAGUGAAGAAGAUGUUCGGAUCGUAAAACGCUGUUGGUAGAGAAGAGCGAUGGUGAGAGUGGAAAGCUCAUAAAGUGACGGUAACUACCCAGAAAGGAACGGCUAACUACGUG